rnacentral:rRNA from 1 species
CCUACGGGAGGCAGCAGUGAGGAAUAUUGGACAAUGGGCGCAAGCCUGAUCCAGCCAUGCCGCGUGCAGGAUGACGGUCCUAUGGAUUGUAAACUGCUUUUGCACAGGAAGAAACAACAUUACGUGUAAUGUCUUGACGGUACUGUGAGAAUAAGGAUCGGCUAACUCCGUGCCAGCAGCCGCGGUAAUACGGAGGAUCCAAGCGUUAUCCGGAAUCAUUGGGUUUAAAGGGUCCGUAGGCGGUUUAGUAAGUCAGUGGUGAAAGCCCAUCGCUCAACGGUGGAACGGCCAUUGAUACUGCUAGACUUGAAUUAUUAGGAAGUAACUAGAAUAUGUAGUGUAGCGGUGAAAUGCUUAGAGAUUACAUGGAAUACCAAUUGCGAAGGCAGGUUACUACUAAUUGAUUGACGCUGAUGGACGAAAGCGUGGUAGCGAACAGGAUUAGAUACCCUGGUAGUCCACGCCGUAAACGAUGGAUACUAGCUGUUGGGAGCGAUCUCAGUGGCUAAGCGAAAGUGAUAAGUAUCCCACCUGGGGAGUACGUUCGCAAGAAUGAAACUUAAAGAGUAGUAGACGNGAGAGAGACGACGACGACGACGAGGAGGGAGGAGG